UACGUAGGGGGCGAGCGUUGUCCGGAUUUAUUGGGCGUAAAGAGCGUGUAGGCGGCCAAACAGGUCCGUUGUGAAAACUGGAGGCUCAACCUCCAGACGUCGACGGAAACCGUGUGGCUAGAGUCCGGAAGAGGAGAGUGGAAUUCCUGGUGUAGCGGUGAAAUGCGCAGAUAUCAGGAGGAACACCGGUGGCGAAGGCGGAUCUCUGGGCCUUGCCUGACGCUGAGGCGCGAAAGCUAGGGGAGCGAACAGG
rnacentral:rRNA from 1 species